rnacentral:rRNA from 1 species
UUAUACCUACGGGGGGCAGCAGUGGGGAAUAUUGCGCAAUGGGCGAAAGCCUGACCCAGCAACGCCGCGUGAAGGAAGAAGGCUUUCGGGUUGUAAACUUCUUUUAUGAGGGACGAAACAAAUGACGGUACCUCAUGAGUAAGCCACGGCUAACUACGUGCCAGCAGCCGCGGUAAUACGUAGGUGGCAAGCGUUAUCCGGAUUUACUGGGUGUAAAGGGCGUGUAGGCGGGACUGCAAGUCAGAUGUGAAAAUUAUGGGCUCAACCCAUAACCUGCAUUUGAAACUGUAGUUCUU